rnacentral:rRNA from 1 species
GACGGAGGAUGCAAGUGUUAUCCGGAAUCACUGGGCGUAAAGCGUCUGUAGGUGGUUUAAAAAGUCCACUGUUAAAGGUUGAAGCUUAACUUCAAAAAUGCCAUGGAAACUUUUAAACUUGAGUAUGGUAGGGGUAGAGGGAAUUUCCAGUGGAGCGGUGAAAUGCGUAGAUAUUGGAAAGACCACCGAUGGCGAAGGCACUCUACUGGGCCAUUACUGACACUGAGAGACGAAAGCUAGGGGAGCAAAUGGG